rnacentral:rRNA from 1 species
AUACGUAGGGGGCGAGCGUUGUCCGGAAUUACUGGGCGUAAAGAGCUCGUAGGUGGUUUGUCGCGUCGUCUGUGAAAUUCCGGGGCUUAACUCCGGGCGUGCAGGCGAUACGGGCAUAACUUGAGUACUGUAGGGGAGACUGGAAUUCCUGGUGUAGCGGUGAAAUGCGCAGAUAUUAGGAAGAACACCGGUGGCGAAGGCGGCUAUCUGGACAGUAACUGACGCUGAGGAGCGAAAGCAUGGGUAGCGAACAGGAUUAGAUACCCUGGUAGUCCAUGCCGUAAACGGUGGGCGCUAGGUGUAGGGGUCUUCCACGACUUCUGUGCCGUAGCUAACGCAUUAAGCGCCCCGCCUGGGGAGUACGGCCGCAAGGCUAAAACUCAAAGGAAUUGACGGGG